GUGAAUUAUGAAUUAACAGAAUUGUUCUACCCGUCACUGCCGGUUUUGGAAGUUAGGAGCUGCUAAGGCCAGAAUGAGCAAAGAUCUACUUAAAGGCGUCUUUUAGUGAAAAGCUUAUGAUCUAGGUAUAUGCAACAUUGAAGAAGGAUGCAUCCCUUUUCAACGCAAAAAACGGAUUACUAUAUGUAUAAUCAUCUUUCCCUUAUCCCCCUAAAAAACGUCGAAGAAAAGGAAAAACAGAUCUGGAAAUAAAGACAUAUGCACAUUAAGCCAGCUAGUUUGCGAGCAAAUCCGUGACUGCAUCCCUCAUAUCUUCAUAUGCGUAACAGCUUUCGAGAAACUCCACAAGAUUCAACAGUUCUUGAUCUUUCAGGUCAUCCACAAAAGCCUUUAUAGGCACUCCAUUCUCUGGCUGUAAUGAGUAAGAAGAUGGAUUGUCAUCGACAAUCAAAGCACUUCUGAGGUCUUUCCCCACUACCAAAGAUAAGUCCUUUACAUAUUUCCCGUUCACCUCCGUGCAUGAGUCUCGAUAUAGCCGCUGUGAGAUC
rnacentral:lncRNA from 1 species